rnacentral:rRNA from 1 species
AACGUAGGAGACAAACGUUAUCCGGAGUUACUGGGCGUAAAGGGCGUGUAGGUGGUUUCGUAAGUCUGGCGUGAAAUAUCUCGGCUUAACCGAGGCAGGUCGUCGGAUACUGCGGAACUAGAGGACGGUAGAGGCGUGUGGAAUUCCGGGUGUAGUGGUGAAAUGCGUAGAUAUCGGGAGGAACACCAGUGGCGAAGGCGACUUCCUGGCCUGUUCUUGACGCUGAGGCGCGAAAGCUAGGGGAGCAAACGGG